rnacentral:rRNA from 1 species
AGCAGCCGCGGUAAUUCCAGCUCCAAUAGCGUAUAUUAAAGUUGUUGCAGUUAAAAAGCUCGUAGUUGAAUUUCGGGAUUGACGUGACGGUCAUGCCUUAAGGGGUAUGAACUGUUACAGUUGAUUUCUCACCUUCUGGAGAAACUUGAUGUCCUUUAUUGGGUGUCUUGCGGAUCCAGGACCUUUACCUUGAAAAAUUAGAGUGUUUAAAGCAGGCAUUUUUGCUCGAAUACAUUAGCAUGGAAUAAUAGAAUAGGACGGCAUGGUUCUAUUUUGUUGGUUUCUAGGAUCACCGUAAUGAUUAAUAGGGAUAGUUGGGGGCAUUAGUAUUCAAUUGUCAGAGGUGAAAUUCUUGGAUUUAUUGAAGACUAACUACUGCGAAAGCAUUUGCCAAGGAUGUUUUCAUUAAUCAAGAACGAAAGUUAGGGGAUCGAAGACGAUCAGAUACCG